rnacentral:misc_RNA from 1 species
UCAGAACACUCGCAGACGACAGUUCAAUAAGAAACAAACAGCCAGAAAGAAAACUUACAGUCUGAAAGGAAACUAACAGUCUGAAAGGAAACUAACAGUUCGAAAGGAAACAUACAUCGGUUUUUGAAACUUACGUUAUUUGACAACCAUGAAAGUCUACGCAGCCUUAUUAAUUGUAGGUGUUUUUGGAUUAUUUAUUUACUAGACUAAGUGCUUAUUCAUUUUAUUUUAACGUUGGUCUUUAUCGUUUAUCUUUUUAACCUUGACAAUCUUUAAUUUUUUUAGAAAUGUAAUUUAACGUAAUUUCAUAGGUAACCAACUUCAGGUUAAACUUAUUUUUUGCUGGCAGGGUAGUUAAAAGUUAAAAUAUAAAAAUAAUACAAAAUAAUAAAUCCACAGAAAAAAAUUUACAUUGAUUGUUCUUUGAAUUUCAGAUAGCCUUUGGAUCGGCCUUGACAACGUCUAGUCCCCUAAAAGGUAAGACCUGUCAGAUUUAUCGCUAUUUGUCUAAAGGUAUUAGCUUUCUAGAUAACGAUAAUCCAAAAUCAUUACAAGAUUGUGCUAUCGGUUCAAUAUCCUUAAAAAUCAAUCGAAACAAAUCGAAAUAAGCCUGACAUUUUUGACUCGGAAAUAUUUUCAUAACACCGAGAUAUAAUACAGAUUUCGUUAUUCUCGAUUGAAAAGAAACGCCACUGAUUCCAGUUAUAUCCGAGAGAUUCAUUAGGAAAAAUAUAUCAAAAGAGACUAACAUCAAAAUGCAAGGACGAAUUCAUAAUUAAACAAAAGCCAAAGAAAAAUCCAUAUAAGCAUGUAUUUUCGAACUGGUCAUUUUGAAAUCGUAGUAUGGGCUAAAACGUAAUUUUAAAAAAGAGAAAGAACGAAAUAAGAAUUCAAGUAAGCAAGCAACUUAGCGCAAUUGUUCUUAAGACUUAGACUUUGAUAUAUUAUUCUAUGUUAUUCUAGAUUUCGGUAUAACAGAAUGUCAAGACAGCAUGGCAGAUGUUGUCUUUGUCCUGGAUUCCUCCGCUAGUAUUUGGGAGCCUGAUUUUAACAGACAGGUGGAUUUUGUUAAGAACAUCGUCAAGCAGUUCAAAAUUGGACCAAACAACACGCAAGUAGGAAUCGUAACAUUUGGCCAAUACAACACGCUUCGGUUUCAUCUUAAGAAAUACCAUGACAGCGAAGAGCUACAGAAAGCUAUUGGUUGGAUCCGCUUCAAACCUGGUAGAACAACCAAUACCGGAGGUGCUAUCAAAUAUAUGUCCAAUGAAAUGUUCUCAGAGAAAAAUGGCGCCAGAGAAAAUUUCCCUAAAGUAGCCGUUGUCAUUACGGAUGGAAAAUCUACCGAGACGAAAAAAACCAUCGAGGCCGCACGAGUUGCGCGUGAAAUGGGGAUUCAUUUGUUUGCCAUAGGUGUGGGAAAGAAAUAUGACAGAAAAGAAUUAGAAAAAAUUGCCAACAAACCAUCUGAUGAAUAUGUUUUCACGGUUGACAACUACAGUGCUUUGAAAAACAUCCUGAACGUAUUUGCAGUCAAAACUUGCCAAGGUAUGCUAUAACCUACAGACUGUCUCCUAUUUAGUCAUUCUACAUUAAAUUUUGUGAUUAAUCAAUUAUGUGGUUGUGAGUUUGUUCUGUAAGAAUUGUUUCUUUUUCUUUCAGUGACAACAACACCGAAACCGACAACCACAACGACAAUAGCCACAACCACCACCACAGAACCUACCACUACCACCACAGAGCCUACAACUACCACUACAGAACCUACCACUACCACCACAGAACCUACCACUACCACCACAGAACCUACCACUACCACCACAGAGCCUACAACUACCACUUUUUCUUACAGAAUUGGGGAGCAGAGUGAUCAUCCCUUCGUUAAAGGUAUGCUUCCUUAAAUAGAAUAGAAUACUUUGCAGAUGGUUUAAAGCAUUUUCUCACGCUGUAAAUAAUUCAUAUUUCUUCCUAAUAUUUACGUAUGUGCUUUUGUUUAUUUUCCAAUAAAAUCCUUUAUUUUAGCAUGCAAUGGAAAACCAGCGGAUGUGUACUUCGUAAUGGACUCCUCAAGGAGCAUCGGGUCCAGCAACUACCAGAAACAGAAGAUGUUUGUCAGCAAACUCCUGAGUGCCUUUGACAUUUCAAACUCCAACACUAGAAUCGGGGUUGUGACGUACAGCAAUGACGUCAAGGUUGACAUUCCUCUUGGUUCUAUCUCAACACUCCCGGAACUUCAGAAAGCUGUUAACAAUCUCCCGUACCAUGCAAGAGGUACCAACACGGGAGAUGCCAUACAUUUCGUAAGAAAAGUCGGAUUCGUCAAAGGCGUUGCUAGACCGGAAGUAGCCCAUAUAAUGAUCGUUCUUACUGAUGGCCUCUCGAUGGAUUCCGAGAAAACACGCAGAGAGUCUUCUCUGGCUCACGAUGCUGGAAUCUAUGUGUUUGCCAUUGGAAUUGGCAAAGGGGUCGACACAGUAGAACUCGGUGCCAUUGCCAGCAACCCGGACAAAAAUUUCCUUUUCCAUGUCGAGAAUUUUGAUGCCCUAAGUUCCAUCAGAACACUGCUCGCCACAAGAACUUGUGAAGUGUUGCCAAAAGACGAAGCAGUUUCAACCAGUGGUAAGAAUCUAAAAGCAAAUUAUAUCGAUGCAUUUCACUUGAUAAGUAUGUCCAAUCCUCGUAAUAAUUAUGAAAUCAUAUCAGUAGUAACUAAUGAUUUCUUUCUUCAUUUCAGUUGUACCACUACCGAAAUAUGGACUAAUGGACAUCGUUUUCGUUUACGAUGUAUUCGGAAUUGGAGCCCAGAAGACUCUUAUCAUCAACAAAUUCAUCUCGUCCAUCGUAAGAAGGAUAACUAUUGGAAUGGGAGACAUUUGGGUUGGUCGUCUGAUUGCGGAUUGUCCGGAUAUGACGCAAAAUGGUCUGGUUCCGGUAACAUCCUGGAAUGAUAACUCCAAGAUUACGUUCCCGGGACUAGGAAGCCUCAUUGAGAAACUGGAUGUCUUCUUUGACAGUAAUGGCGGCCGAUACAACGCGCGGCGUACAGUGGUUGUGUUCGUGGAUGAGCAGGAACAGAACGUAAUGGACGUGGUCUCCAAAGUCCACUCUCUCCAAAACAUGAACGUCAUCACCAUCAUCCUGGGGGAGGAGGAGAAAUACAUCCUGGAGGAGACCAGCACCAGGAAGUAUUUCUAUGUUCCCAGUUACAACGAACUUCUCCAGUUCACAUUUCCGUGUUUGAAACAGCUUUGUUUCUGUGAUUCCGUGUAAUCCUGUGUUCAUUAACUUAACACUGUAAAACUGUGAUAUUACAUUCCGAUAUAUUUUUUUUCUUUCUUUUUUGUAAAUUAUUACUUUUAUUUUAAAAAUGUCUAUUGUGUUCUAUGAUAUACAAUAUGUUCGUUCACUUUUUAUACAUUUUACAAAUGAAUGUUGUUAUAUAUACAUUUAUAUACACUUUAUAUUUAUUUUUAGCUUUUUCAAUAAAAAUU